rnacentral:sRNA from 1 species
AGGAUGGAAUUAUUUCAAUAGAUUAUAUGAAGUCAGAAAUGAAUAUGGUCGAUCCU